rnacentral:rRNA from 1 species
UGAGGUGGAAGCAUGGUGACAUGUGGAGCUGACGAAUACUAAUAGAUCGAGGACUUAACCAUA